AUGCAUUGCCUGUUUCAGCACUAUUUGGGCAGGUACUACAGCAGCUGGAUGGUGGAAAAGAUUUCAUGCACUGUCCACUCCAAAUAUCAGCAGACAGUUGGACUGGAAGGGACCUCUGGGGACUGUCUGGAGCAGCACUCUGGUAUGAGCACAGUCUGUGCUGCUGCCGAGGAUGGCAGGCAGCAGCUCUGCAGGGCUGUGGCACACGUGGAUGCAAAUGCAGCUGACAGUGAUGGAAACUGUUCUGGUGCCCUGCCUCUGCCUGUUCUCACUGCAGCAGGGACUGUGCUUAGGAAUGACUGAGGAAAAAGGUCAGAGCAAAUGAGCACGGAAAGACCCUUCACACGAGCCUGGCAGUGCUGUCUCCAGUGCUUCUGUACGUGUAAAAACACACUUGAAUGAGCAGGUUUUCCUUCACCAGCGUGGUGCUACAGCACAGGUCAUUACAGGCACCCACCAGCGAGCAGAAGCAUAAAUGUCACUGGAGACAAGGAGGAAUGUAUUUGGAAGAAAAUGUUAUACUGAGAGAAGGCUGGAGAAGACAGGAGAAAAAAAGCUGCAGUUAGGAUGUGAGGCUAUUUAGAGUUUAAUUCUCCAGUGGCAAAAUUAGCGUUGAGUUUAACUGGACUGGGAGCAAAUGUUCAAGGACAAAAAUCCAGGAAAAGGAGAAAAAGGGUCCAAGAGAGAGAAAAUGGACAUCUGCUCUUGGAGGGCCUAGCACUUGAAAAGCCUGGGCAUGUCUGUGUGCUUCCUGAUGGCAGGCAGGGUGUAGGCAUGCUGAGCCUACGCUAUUUUUUUAGCUUUCAUGCUAUAGAAUAUAAUUUGUUUAUUUAGAAAAGCAUAUUUUUGCCCCAGACAGAGUCAUUUCCCGUGAAAAGCAAAAGUGCUCUUGCUGGAGGAUUUCUGGGUAUUAUGAAAUAUGAGAACACCAAGAAAAGUUGCAGAAAGUUUUUGAAAACAUAUGGGAAUUCUUCCCUCCAUUUCUUUCAUCAACAAGAGUCCCACCCAUAAUUCCAAUGUGAUGGUAGAGCAGAGUAAGGUAAUUCAGGUUUGGAGUAUGUUCACAUCCUGAGCACUGCUUUAUGAUGCACAAUAUGGGUUAUAAGAGGAGGAAACACAUGGGUGUUCUUUUCCUCCACACAUUAAACACAUCAGACUGGCUAGAAGCUGUCACAUUAACACAUAUCUCAAAACUGAGAAACAGGCUUUUAUGGAACAUUUAUCAGUAAAAGUGGGCUUGUUGUCACAGGGCUUAAAAUGCAAAAGUUAGCUGUGAUAUUGCCAUUUUGGCAAACCUGUCCCACAAGCCACUGUGAAUCCCAGUGAUAACAUUUGCAUGGCUGUGUGUCUAUGGUGCAGCUAAUUAGUGUAUAUUGUUGUUGCAGUUCAUAUGAAAAUUAUUCUUACAGGCUGAAAAUCUGGCACAUUGUUACACAUACAAAUUGAUCCGUUGUUUACAUCUGGGUAAGCUUUUCUGAUUUGUACACACAAAAACAAGUUUUCAGGGAAAUCUUGCAUUAUGAUUAAAAUACAGGUCAAAAGAUCAAAAGUAUUUUCAAGCCAAGUUUUAUUUUCUGGGGAUCAAAAUGCAUAAGCUGUACUAGAGUUCCUUCUAAAAUAAGCCUUAUAUAUUUCAUGGGUGGCUGCUUUAGCAGAGCCUAUAAUCUGUUGGCAGAUAUUGCUUAUGGACCUUUGUAAUUUCAGUAAUUUUAUGUAGUAAUAAAUGGCUCAUAGGCAGCUUCCUUAUUUUAUAC
rnacentral:lncRNA from 1 species